rnacentral:rRNA from 1 species
AUUGAACGCUGGCGGCAGGCCUAACACAUGCAAGUCGAGCGAGCGGCGGACGGGUGCGUAAUGGAUGGGGAACGCACGAAAGAGGGGGAUAACUGCUGGAAACGGCGGCUAAUACCGCAUAAUGUCGGAUAACCCAUAUGGGAUUAGCUAGUAGGUAAGGUAAUGGCUGACCUAGGCGACGAUCCCUAGCUGGGCUGAGAGGGUGAUCAGCCACACUGGGACUGGGACACGGCCCAGACUCCUACGGAGGCAGCAGUGGGGAAUAUUGCGCAAUGGACGCAAGCCUGAUGCAGCCAUGCCGCGUGUAUGAAGAAGGCCUUAGGGUUGUAAAGUACUUUCGUUCGGGAGGCGUUACCGACAGAGGAAGCACCGGCUAACUCCGUGCCAGCAGCCGCGGUAAUUC